GUCUUAUGUUUUUUCCAAAAAUUUUAUUGUUUGCUCUUUCACAUUUAGGAUCUAAGACUGUUUGACAAAGGAAUCUGAAUGAAUUCCAUUCUGAUGCUCAAGCUGGGAUCCAAAGGACCUAACCUAGUUAACAUGGCAAAAGGGCUGAGAGCUGUUUGAGAGCAGGAACACUUGUCUCUUCUCUGCUUCUCCUCCAGUUUCUAGCAGUGAUUCUGGGUGUGAUGGAAUAAGAAGGUAAGAUGGAAUUAUGACUUCCUUACCAUUUGGUAGCUACAGAGAUAAAACACACAGCCAAUAGUGUGCUGAAACCAGGUCACACCAGUUUGUGAGAGCCAAC
rnacentral:lncRNA from 1 species